UAUUUAUAUAUGUGUGUGUGUGUGUGCAUAUGAGUGUGCAUAUGUGUGUGUACAUGUGUGUAUAUAUAUAUACAGAUAUGAAUAUGUUUGUGCAUACAUGCACACACACACACACAUAUACAUA
rnacentral:pre_miRNA from 1 species